rnacentral:rRNA from 1 species
GACGAACGCUGGCGGCGUGCCUAAUACAUGCAAGUAGAACGCUGAAGGAGGAGCUUGCUUCUCUGGAUGAGUUGCGAACGGGUGAGUAACGCGUAGGUAACCUGCCUGGUAGCGGGGGAUAACUAUUGGAAACGAUAGCUAAUACCGCAUAAUAGUAGAUGUUGCAUGACAUUUGCUUAAAAGGUGCAAUUGCAUCACUACCAGAUGGACCUGCGUUGUAUUAGCUAGUUGGUGAGGUAACGGCUCACCAAGGCGACGAUACAUAGCCGACCUGAGAGGGUGGUCGGCCACACUGGGACUGAGACACGGCCCAGACUCCUACGGGAGGCAGCAGUAGGGAAUCUUCGGCAAUGGACGGAAGGCUGACCGAGCAACGCCGCGGGAGGGAAGAAGGGUUUCGGAUCGUAAAGCUCUGUUGUAAGAGAAGAACGAGUGUGAGAGUGGAAAGUUCACACUGUGACGGUAUCUUACCAGAAAGGGACGGCUAACUACGUG